rnacentral:rRNA from 1 species
UACGAGGGGGGAGCAAAUGUUGUUCGGAAUCACUGGGCGUAAAGGGAGCGUAGGCGGGUUCUAAGUAAGGUGUUUAAUCCCGGGGCCCAACCCCGGACCGGCACUUUAAACUGGGAAUCUUGAAUAGUGGAGAGGUCGGUGGAAUUGGGGGUGUAGCGGUGGAAUGCGUAGAGAUCCCCAAGAACACCAGUUGCGAAGGCGGCCGACUGGACACAUAUUGACGCUGAGGCUCGAAAGCAUGGGGAGCAAACAGG